GACGAGUGGUCGAUUUAGCGAGCCAAACACCAACGUGUUUGACUGACAAGCUUGUUUGGAGCUUACGUUUUUGAAAAUGGGGACGACAGUACUGUAAUCAAGUACGAGGUCUGACUUCCACAAUAAUUCCGGAAGUCAAUGUCAGCCAUACCUCUAGAGCUGCAAGUAGUUGGGUACGGGAAGUCUGUCUUUCUGUUUACAGUAGUUCAAACUAUUUUGAUAAACUCUGAUUGAACUACUGUAUAUAAUAUAUGUUUGAAAAGCUGCGUGUUUUCUAAAAUGCUAUGACCAGUUGUUUGAGAGAUACACUGGUUUUAUGUAUUUAGCAUUUUAGUAUUGUAUUGGAAACAGAGCAGGUGUGUCAACUGAGAUUGAUGUUUGCGCUCUAGUUUCUUUAAAUACAAUCAGGGUCUUAAGACCCGGUUUUCAGAAA